rnacentral:misc_RNA from 1 species
GCCUUUUGAGCCUUGCGGUGAGCCUUGUGGCACUUGCACUCGCAGGUGUUGCCAUUUAUAGAAAUACUUAUGAGGCCAUGAUCAUGAAUAACGGAUCACUCCUCCAAAAUAUCUCUCCAGAUAUCGAUUCGUUGGAAUCAGGCGAAGUCAGUAUUUUAAUUUUAAAUGAUAAGAAGAAAAAUUCAGACAAAUAUUUGAGUCAGCAAUUAACUCAGGAGUCUUGCGUUUUCUCAGCUGUGAAAGGAGUUGUGGACAGUGCCAUUGAUA